rnacentral:rRNA from 1 species
AAUAUGGAGAGUUUGAUCCUGGCUCAGAGUGAACGCUGGCGGCGUGCCUAAUACAUGCAAGUCGAACGAUGAAGCUUUUAGCUUGCUAGAAGUGGAUUAGUGGCGCACGGGUGAGUAAGGUAUAGUUAAUCUGCCCUACACUGGGGGACAACACUUAGAAAUGAGUGCUAAUACCCCAUACUCCUAUUUAGCAUAAGUUAGAUAGGGAAAGUU